rnacentral:lncRNA from 11 species
GCCUGGCAUUCCUCUACAAAAUAGAGGCUUGCCUCACUCACUGUUACCCAGGUUUCAUUCCAGGCCUAAUAGCAUUUAUACCCUGCCCUUCUCACCCCGAAGGGGACUCAAAUCGGUUUACAGAACACACAUACGGCAAACAUUCAAUGCCAAUUAUAUAAUUUACAAGAACAGACAACACAAACAGAGGUCCCAUCGGAGGUGAGCAGCCCUGGCCUCAAACUCAGUGGCCAGAACGACAACAGCAAGGAAGAAGAUCCAGAGGUGAAAGUGUGGAAGAACCGAUACCAUGAGGAGAAGCUGAAAGCGAUCCAGCCGGGUUUGGCGCUGAUCCAGAAGGCCAGGGAGUGCGAGGAGAAAGUGGAGGCACUGAGGUGGAAGUUUAAGAGGAUGGAGACCACCAUAGAGAGCCUGGCCCAGAAGUUGGAGGAGCUCUGCAAGGCCGGAGAGGAGAAGGAAGAGCGGGUGAAGAUGCUAUUGAAGGAAACGGAAAAGCUCUCCAUAGAAAUCUUGAAGCGCCAGAGCGAUUGCACCUACCUCCGGCUGCAAAACGAGAGCCGAGGUGACUUUGGGGCCCGGCCGGAUGGCGAUGUCCAGGUGCCCAGCGCUGAUGCCGAACUCAGCGUCGAUAUCUCCGCUCCAUCCCUCUCCGUCCCAGAAGUGGAUCUCAACUUGAACGGACCAAAGACAACAGGCGACGUUGAGCUUCCCUGCACAGAAUUAAUGCAGGUGGAGACGGAGGCGACCGGGGGGGAAGUUGGGGUCGAGGUCGAGUUCCCGCAGGCAACCGCCGUUACGAAUGUCGAGGUGCCCAGCGCUGAUGCUGCUGUCUAA